UCCCUGUUGGCCUAGUGGCUAGGAUUUGGUGCUUUCACCACCACGGCCCAGGUUUGAUUCCUGGUCAGGGAA
rnacentral:tRNA from 1 species